CCUCAUUUAAGGGCUGGCUGCCACAGGGGUUGGCUCUCUACCUGGAGAUCCUUCCUUUUGGAGUAUUCUGUGAGCCCUACCUUGGGGCAGGUGCAUUCAGGGGGUGACUGAUGAAUACGGGAAGGUCAGAAGUGGCUGAGAUUGAAGUGAACUGGCACUUACUCCUAGUGCUUGCAUAGAUUUCCUAGUUCAUACCAAAGGCAUUCAAUCACCAUACACUGAAGUUUAUAUGAAGUUUGAAAUUUGGGCAAUACGACUUAAGAACUGUUAAGGCUCAUCAUUGCUUGGUAUACAAAAAGUAAAAAUUACACAAUCAUGAAGCUCUAUUUAUAAUC